AAAACAAUGUUCGGUCGCAUUACCGGCCAGUGACUGUACGGCUUGAGAGUUGCAACUGCCAUAAUAUUAUUCUAUCCGCGCACAAGCGCCGGUGUGACUCUCUCUGUAAAAUAGGACCAUAGUCAUUAUAAAGUUAGUUAUUCUUAAUUGAUAAAAAUUAUUUAAAUAAUAAGUUUAUCUAAAACAUGGAUACUACAAGUAAAGCUGGAAUAAAAAACAAAACUGCCUCGCAGACUACUAACUACAACCCCUGGAAUUUUUUGUUUAAUUCAAGAAGCCGAACAGAAAGUGAAAUUAGUAAUUCGUCAACAGACAGCUAUGAAACAUAUACACAGUUAGGGUCUUUACAGAAACAGACAAGCAAAAAUAACGACGAAUAUUUGUGGAUGAUAUGGCGAUCAUAAUUUGCCGCUCAUUGACAGCAAAUACUGAAGCUACAUAAUAAAUUAUAAUCGAUGUUAGUUAUUACAUUCAACAUGUAAAUUUAGAUCACAAAGGUGAAGAUAACAACAUCAUGAACAUGAUGGAACAUGUGGCGUUCCUGCCGACCUGGUUUAUGGUCGCAUGGCUGGGGACAUGUAUACUUUUCAGCCCGUUCGCAAUAUUUUUUGUAUUAUGCCUCCCUCAAAUCCCCCUUCUAGUCUUAAGGCGGCUUUGCUAUAUACCCUUUGAGUAUAUUUGACGAUGCCUAGUAAUAAAUAUUUUCUGCUUGUUUAGCGUGUAAAUAGUGUAUGUAUAAUAUAAUUAUAAGUAAAAGUAUGAAUAAAUAUUUAAGUGAAGCAUU